rnacentral:rRNA from 1 species
CCUACGGGAGGCAGCAGUAGGGAAUCUUCCACAAUGGGCGAAAGCCUGAUGGAGCAACGCCGCGUGGGUGAAGAAGGUCUUCGGAUCGUAAAACCCUGUUGUUAGAGAAGAAAGUGCGUGAGAGUAACUGUUCACGUUUCGACGGUAUCUAACCAGAAAGCCACGGCUAACUACGUGCCAGCAGCCGCGGUAAUACGUAGGUGGCAAGCGUUAUCCGGAUUUAUUGGGCGUAAAGGGAACGCAGGCGGUCUUUUAAGUCUGAUGUGAAAGCCUUCGGCUUAACCGGAGUAGUGCAUUGGAAACUGGGAGACUGGAGUGCAGAAGAGGAGAGUGGAACUCCAUGUGUAGCGGUGAAAUGCGUAGAUAUAUGGAAGAACACCAGUGGCGAAAGCGGCUCUCUGGUCUGUAACUGACGCUGAGGUUCGAAAGCGUGGGUAGCAAACAGGAUUAGAUACCCUAGUAGUG